rnacentral:rRNA from 1 species
GCGAGGAAUCUUGGGCAAUGGGCGAAAGCCUGACCCAGCGACGCCGCGUGAGGGACGAAGGCCUUCGGGUCGUAAACCUCUUUUGUGAGGGAAGAAGUUCUGACGGUACCUCACGAAUAAGCCACGGCUAACUACGUGCCAGCAGCCGCGGUAAUACGUAGGUGGCGAGCGUUGUCCGGAUUUACUGGGCGUAAAGGGCUUGUAGGCGGUUCGUUAAGUCCGGUGUGAAAUCUCCCGGCCCAACUGGGAGGGGCCAUCGGAUACUGGCGAACUGGAGGCGGGCAGAGGAAAGCAGAAUUCCCGGUGUAGCGGUGAAAUGCGUAGAUAUCGGGAGGAAUACCAGUGGCGAAGGCGGCUUUCUGGGCCUGUCCUGACGCUGAGGAGCGAAAGCGUGGGGAGCAAACCGGAUUAGAUACCCCGGUAGUCC